AUGUCGAGCGCGCCGACCACGACUCUGCCUUGGAGACCAGUCGCGCCCGAGAUGGAGACCACGAGGAAGCGGGCGGGUGUGCCUAGGAGGGGGCGGAGCCCGAGCGCCCCGGCCCUGCAGUCGUGCCCCACCGCGUCGGCAACGACAUGGCACUCCGUGGAGAGACAGCGGCGUCCGUUAUGGUUGGCCGCGAGUAGAGGUUGUGUGUGCCACAGACGACGGGAACUCGACGGGGACAGGGCCGAGCGCGGAUCUUGCUCCCGCCAGGCCCACGGCAUUGACGUCCUCCUCGCCGUGGCCCUCGCCACCUUCAUCACCCAGGUCGAGUUGCCCUCCCGUGGCGACGGAGGUGGAGCCGCCGAGGAGCGGGGAUAG
rnacentral:rRNA from 1 species